CCUACGGGAGGCAGCAGUGGGGAAUAUUGGACAAUGGGCGAAAGCCUGAUCCAGCAAUGCCGCGUGAGUGAUGAAGGCCUUAGGGUUGUAAAGCUCUUUUACCAGGGAUGAUAAUGACAGUACCUGGAGAAUAAGCUCCGGCUAACUCCGUGCCAGCAGCCGCGGUAAUACGGAGGGAGCUAGCGUUGUUCGGAAUUACUGGGCGUAAAGCGUGCGUAGGCGGUGAUUCAAGUCAGAGGUGAAAGCCUGGAGCUCAACUCCAGAACGGCCUUUGAAACUAGAUCGCUAGAAUUAUGGAGAGGUAAGUGGAAUUCCGAGUGUAGAGGUGAAAUUCGUAGAUAUUCGGAAGAACACCAGUGGCGAAGGCGACUUACUGGACAUAUAUUGACGCUGAGGUACGAAAGCGUGGGGAGCAAACAGGAUUAGAUACCCUGGUAGUCCACGCCGUAAACGAUGAUAACUAGCUGUUCGGGCUCUCAGAGCUUGNGUGGCGCAGCUACGCAUUAAGUUAGUCCGCCGUCGGGUAGGUACGGUCGGCGAGUAAGUUAAACGUACUUAAUUAGUAAGUUAGUUACGGNGNGAGNGNGCCGACGGACGACGACGAGGGAGAGG
rnacentral:rRNA from 1 species